GUUUGAUCCUGGCUCAGAUUGAACGCUGGCGGCAUGCCUUACACAUGCAAGUCGAACGGCAGCACGGGAGCAAUCCUGGUGGCGAGUGGCGAACGGGUGAGUAAUACAUCGGAACGUGCCCAGUUGUGGGGGAUAGCCCGGCGAAAGCCGGAUUAAUACCGCAUACGACCUACGGGUGAAAGCGGGGGAUCGCAAGACCUCGCGCAAUUGGAGCGGCCGAUGGCAGAUUAGCUUGUUGGUGGGGUAAAAGCCUACCAAGGCGACGAUCUGUAGCUGGUCUGAGAGGACGACCAGCCACACUGGGACUGGGACACGGCCCAGACUCCUACGGGAGGCAGCAGUGGGGAAUUUUGGACAAUGGGCGCAAGCCUGAUCCAGCCAUGCCGCGUGUGGGAAGAAGGCCUUCGGGUUGUAAACCACUUUUGUCAGGGAAGAAACGGUCUGAUCUAAUAAAUCGGACUAAUGACGGUACCUGAAGAAUAAGCACCGGCUAACUACGUGCCAGCAGCCGCGGUAAUACGUAGGGUGCAAGCGUUAAUCGGAAUUACUGGGCGUAAAGCGUGCGCAGGCGGCUAUGCAAGACAGAUGUGAAAUCCCCGGGCUCAACCUGGGAACUGCAUUUGUGACUGCAUGGCUAGAGUACGGCAGAGGGGGAUGGAAUUCCGCGUGUAGCAGUGAAAUGCGUAGAUAUGCGGAGGAACACCGAUGGCGAAGGCAAUCCCCUGGGCCUGUACUGACGCUCAUGCACGAAAGCGUGGGGAGCAAACAGGAUUAGAUACCCUGGUAGUCCACGCCCUAAACGAUGUCAACUGGUUGUUGGACGGCUUGCUGUUCAGUAACGAAGCUAACGCGUGAAGUUGACCGCCUGGGGAGUACGGCCGCAAGGUUGAAACUCAAAGGAAUUGACGGGGACCCGCACAAGCGGUGGAUGAUGUGGUUUAAUUCGAUGCAACGCGAAAAACCUUACCUACCCUUGACAUGUCUAGAAGUUUCCAGAGAUGGAUUCGUGCUCGAAAGAGAACUAGAACACAGGUGCUGCAUGGCCGUCGUCAGCUCGUGUCGUGAGAUGUUGGGUUAAGUCCCGCAACGAGCGCAACCCUUAUCAUUAGUUGCUACGCAAGGGCACUCUAAUGAGACUGCCGGUGACAAACCGGAGGAAGGUGGGGAUGACGUCAGGUCAUCAUGGCCCUUAUGGGUAGGGCUACACACGUCAUACAAUGGCCGGUACAGAGGGCUGCCAACUCGCGAGAGGGAGCUAAUCUCAGAAAACCGGUCGUAGUCCGGAUCGCAGUCUGCAACUCGACUGCGUGAAGUCGGAAUCGCUAGUAAUCGCGGAUCAGCUUGCCGCGGUGAAUACGUUCCCGGGUCUUGUACACACCGCCCGUCACACCAUGGGAGCGGGUUCUGCCAGAAGUAGUUAGCCUAACCGCAAGGAGGGCGAUUACCACGGCAGGGUUCGUGACUGGGGUGAAGUCGUAACAAGGUA
rnacentral:rRNA from 1 species